rnacentral:rRNA from 1 species
AGUGGCGGACGGGUGAGUAACGCGUGGGUAACCUGCCUCAUACAGGGGGAUAACAGUUAGAAAUGACUGCUAAUACCGCAUAAGACCACGGAGCCGCAUGGCUCAGUGGGAAAAACUCCGGUGGUAUGAGAUGGACCCGCGUCUGAUUAGGUAGUUGGUGGGGUAACGGCCUACCAAGCCGACGAUCGGUAGCCGGACUGAGAGGUUGAACGGCCACAUUGGGACUGAGACACGGCCCAG